CAGUCGCCACGGGAAAACGAAGGGGGCUAGCGUUGUUCGGAUUUACUGGGCGUAAAGGGUGCGUAGGCGGACUGAUAAGUCAGGGGUGAAAUCCCAAGGCUCAACCUUGGAACUGCCUUUGAUACUGUUAGUCUUGAGUUCGAGAGAGGUAAGUGGAACUGCGAGUGUAGAGGUGAAAUUCGUAGAUAUUCGCAAGAACACCAGUGGCGAAGGCGGCUUACUGGCUCGAGACUGACGCUGAGGCGCGAAAGCGUGGGGAGCAAACAGGGUUAGAUACCCGCGUAGUCCCUGUCUCUUAUAC
rnacentral:rRNA from 1 species